rnacentral:lncRNA from 1 species
UGGGGACAUUUAUGGCCACGUGGUGUCCUGGAGGCCAACCUGUUCCCUCCAUAGCCAUUGUAACCAUGACCUGGUGGCACUCUGGGGACAUUUAUGGCCACGUGGUGUCCUGGAGGCCAGCGUGUUCCCUCCAUAGCCACCCUACCAAGACCUGGUGGCACUUUGGGGACCCUUUUGGCCCCGUGCUGACCCCGCCGUCCCCCCCUCUUCCCUCAGGGUGACGCAGUGCAAGUACAAGCGCAUCGGGUGCCCGUGGCAGGGCCCGUUCCACGAGCUGACGGUGCACGAGGCCGAGUGCACGCACCCGACCAAGACGGGCAACGAGCUGAUGGAGAUCCUGGACGAGAUGGACCAGAGCCGCAAGAAGGAGAUGCAGCUCUACAACAGCAUCUUCAGCCUGCUCAGCUUCGAGAACAUCGGCUACACCGGUACGGGGACGGCGGCUGCGCGGGAACCGGGCGCUGCCCUCACCCUUGGGGGGGUGGGGGGGUGGCUCCGUGGGGUGUGCCAUGGGGUGGUGGCAUCGUGUGCCAUGGGGUGGUGGCUCUGUGUCCCGUGGGGUGGUGGCAUCAUGUUCCAUGGGGUGGUAGCAACUCGUUGUGGGGUGGUGGCUUGAUGUCCCAUGGGGCGGUGGCAUCGCGUUGUGGGGCAAUGGCAUCGCGUUGUGGGGUGGUGGCUCUGUGUCCCAUGGGGUGGUGGCAUCUCGUUGUGGGGUGGUGGCAUCUCGUUGUGGGGUGGUGGCAUCUCAUUGUGGGAUGGUGGCCCUGUGUCCCAUGGGGUGGUGGCAUCGUGGUGUGUCCCAUGGGGUGGUGGCAUCGUGGUGUGUCCCAUGGGGUGGUGGCAUCAUGUCCCAUGGGGUGGUGGCAUUGCGUUGUGGGAUGGUGGCUUGAUGUCUCAUGGGGCGGUGGCCCUGUCCCAUGGGGUGGUGGCAUUGUGGUGUGUCCCAUGGGGCGGUGGCAUCUCGUUGUGGGGUGGUGGCUCUGUCCCAUGGGGCGGUGGCAUCUCGUUGUGGGGUGGUGGCAUCGUGUCCCAUGGGGUGGUGGCAUCGCGUUGUGGGAUGGUGGCUUGAUGUCCCAUGGGGUGGUGGCAUCGUGGUGUGUCCCAUGGGGUGGUGGCAUCACGUUGUGGGAUGGUGGCUUGAUGUCCCAUGGGGCGGUGGCCCUGUCCCAUGGGGUGGUGGCAUCGUGGUGUGUCCCAUGGGGCGGUGGCAUCAUGUCCCAUGGUGUGGUGGCAUCUCGUUGUGGGGUGGUGGCUCUGUCCCAUGGGGUGGUGGCAUCUCGUUGUGGGGUGGUGGCUCUGUGUCCCAUGGGGUGGUGGCAUUGCUUUGUGGGGCGGUGGCAUCAUGUCCUAUGGGGUGGUGUCAUCACCUUGUGGGGUGGUGGCUCUGUGUCCCAUGGGGUGCUGGCAUCUUGUUGUGGGGUGCUGGCAUCUUGUUGUGGGGUGGUGGCAACUCAUUGUGGGAUGGUGGCCCUGUGUCCCAUGGGGUGGUGGCAUCGUGGUGUGUCCCAUGGGGUGGUGGCAUUGCGUUGUGGGAUGGUGGCUUGAUGUCCCAUGGGGCGGUGGCCCUGUCCCAUGGGGUGGUGGCAUUGUGGUGUGUCCCAUGGGGCGGUGGCAUCAUGUCCCAUGGUGUGGUGGCAUCUCGUUGUGGGGUGGUGGCUCUGUGUCCCAUGGGGUGGUGGCAUCGCGUUGUGGGGUGGUGGCAUCGCGUUGUGGGGUGGUGGCAUCGCGUUGUGGGGUGGUGGCAUCGCGUUGUGGGGUGGUGGCUCUGUGUCCCAUGGGGUGGUGGCUCUGUCCCAUGGGGUGGUGGCAUCGUGGUGUGUCCCAUGGGGUGGUGGCAUCGCGUUGUGGGAUGGUGGCUUGAUGUCCCAUGGGGUGGUGGCCCUGUCCCGUGGGGUGGUGACAUUGUGGUGUGUCCCGUGGGGAGGUCGCAUCAUGAUGUCCCGUGGGGUGGUGGCAUCACCGUGAGGGAUGGUGGCUUAAUGUCCCAUGGGAUGGUGGCUCUGUCCUAUGGGGUGAUGGCAUCGCGCUGUGGGGCGGUGGCGCUGUGCUGCGCUGUGGGGCGGAGGCACUGUGCUGUGGGGCGGUGGCGUUGGCCGUGGGGCAGCGUGGAAUGUGGGGCAGGGCUGGCCAUGGGGCUCCGUUGCGAUCCCCUUGGGGUUCCCCUUGGGAUCUUAUUGGGGUUCCCCUUGGGAUCUUAUUGGGGUUCCCAUUGCUGUUCCUUUUGGGGUUCCCAUUGCUGUUCUUUUGGGGUUCCCAUUGCAGGUCCCAUUGGGUUCCCGUUGCUGUUCCUUUUGGGGUUCCAUUGCAUGUCCCCUUGGGUUCCCCUUGGGUUCCCCUUGGGUUCCCCUUGGGUUCCCCUUGGGUUCCCCUUGGGUUCCCCUUGGGUUCCCCUUGGGGUUCCCUUUGGGGUUCCUAUUGCCAUUCCCUUUGGGGUUCCUAUUGCCAUUCCCAUUGAGUUCCCAUUAGGGUUCCUAUUGCCGUUACCAUUGGGUUUCUCACUGGGAUCCUGUUGGGGUUCCUAUUGCGGAUCCCCUUGGGAUCUUUUUGGGGUUCCAGUUAGGAUUCCCAUUGCGUUCCUGUUGGGGUUCCUAUUGCGGUUCCCAUUGGGUUCCCCUUGGGGUUCCCAUUGCCGUUCCUUUUGAGAUCCCAUUGGGUUCCCCUUGGGGUUCCCAGUGCUGCUCCCUUUGGGAUCUUUUUGGGGUUCCCCUUGGGCUUCCUAUUGCCAUUCCCAUUGGGGUUCCCAUUGGGGUUCCUGUUGGGUUUCUCACUGGGAUCCUUUUGGGGUUCCACUUGGGGUUCCCCUUGGGCUUCCUAUUGCCUUUCCUAUUGGGAUUCCCUUUGGGGUUCCCAUUGGAUUUCUCACUGGGAUCCUGUUGGGAUCCCAUUGGGGUUCCCAUUGGGGUUCCCAUUGCCGUUCCCUUUGGGAUCCUUUUGGGGUUCCCCUUGGGGUUCCUAUUGCGGAUCCCCUUGGGAUCUUUUUGGGGUUCCAGUUGGGAUUCCCAUUGGGUUCCUGUUGGGGUUCCUAUUGCGGUUCCC